GGUGGUUCUCCGGUUAUGCACCCCCAAAUCAGGCUCCCUAUGCUCUGGUUCCGGAGUGUGUCACCCAAGAACUGCU
rfam:Myotis brandtii contig285308, whole genome shotgun sequence.